CCUACGGGUGGCUGCAGUAGGGAAUAUUGCUCAAUGGGCGAAACUCUGAAGCAGCAACGCCGCGUGCAGGAUGACGGCUUUAGGAUUGUAAACUUCUUUUGUUAGAGAAGUUUAUUACGUUAUCUAACGUAUAAUCACCGUCUAACUCCGUUCAAGCAGCCGCGGUAAUACGGAGGGUCCAAGCGUUACUCGGAAUCACUGGGCGUAAAGAGUGCGUAGGCGGGGUAAUAAGUCAGAUGUGAAAUCCUGUAGCUUAACUACAGAACUGCAUUUGAAACUGUUACUCUGGAGAGUGGGAGAGGUAGGUGGAAUUCUUGGUGUAGGGGUAAAAUGCGUAGAGAUCAAGAGGAAUACUCAUUGCGAAGGCGACCUGCGGGAACACUACUGACGCUGAUGCACGAAAGCGUGGGGAGCAAACAGGAUUAGAUACCCGAGUAGUC
rnacentral:rRNA from 1 species